rnacentral:rRNA from 5 species
UUUGUUGCCAGCGAUUAGGUCGGGAACUCAAAGGAGACUGCCAGUGAUAAACUGGAGGAAGGUGGGGAUGACGUCAAGUCAUCAUGGCCCUUACGACCAGGGCUACACACGUGCUACAAUGGCGCAUACAAAGAGAAGCGACCUCGCGAGAGCAAGCGGACCUCAUAAAGUGCGUCGUAGUCCGGAUUGGAGUCUGCAACUCGACUCCAUGAAGUCGGAAUCGCUAGUAAUCGUGGAUCAGAAUGCCACGGUGAAUACGUUCCCGGGCCUUGUACACACCGCCCGUCACACCAUGGGAGUGGGUUGCAAAAGAAGUAGGUAGCUUAACCUUCGGGAGGGCGCUUACCACUUUGUGAUUCAUGACUGGGGUGAAGUCGUAACAAGGUAACCGUAGGGGAACCUGCGGUUGGA